UACGUAGGGGGCAAGCGUUGUCCGGAUUUAUUGGGCGUAAAGAGCGUGUAGGCGGCCAUGUAGGUCCGUUGUGAAAACUCGAGGCUCAACCUCGAGACGCCGAUGGAAACCAUGUGGCUAGAGUCCGGAAGAGGAGAGUGGAAUUCCUGGUGUAGCGGUGAAAUGCGCAGAUAUCAGGAAGAACACCCGUGGCUAAGGCGGCUCUCUAGUACGGUACUGACGCUGGAGACGCGAAAGCGUGGGGAGCGAACAGGG
rnacentral:rRNA from 1 species